UGGGGAAUCUUAGACAAUGGGCUCAAGCCUGAUCUAGCCAUGCCGCGUGAGCGAUGAAGGCCUUAGGGUUGUAAAGCUCUUUCACCGGUGAAGAUAAUGACGGUAACCGGAGAAGAAGCCCCGGCUAACUUCGUGCCAGCAGCCGCGGUAAUACGAAGGGGGCUAGCGUUGUUCGGAAUUACUGGGCGUAAAGCGCACGUAGGCGGGUAUUUAAGUCAGGGGUGGAAUCCCAGAGCUCAACUCUGGAACUGCCUUUGAUACUGGGUACCUAGAGUAUGGAAGAGGUGAGUGGAAUUCCGAGUGUAGAGGUGAAAUUCGUAGAUAUUCGGAGGAACACCGAUGGCGAAGGCAGCCUCCUGGGAUAACACUGACGCUCAUGCACGAAAGCGUGGGGAGCAAACA
rnacentral:rRNA from 1 species